GACGAACGCUGGCGGCGUGCUUAACACAUGCAAGUCGAACGGUAAGGCCCUUCGGGGUACACGAGUGGCGAACGGGUGAGUAACACGUGGGUGAUCUGCCCUGCACUUCGGGAUAAGCCUGGGAAACUGGGUCUAAUACCGGAUAGGACUCCUGCCUGCAUGGGUGGGGGUGGAAAGCUUUUGCGGUGUGGGAUGGGCCCGAGGCCUAUCAGCUUGUUGGUGGGGUGAUGGCCUACCAAGGCGACGACGGGUAGCCGGCCUGAGAGGGUGACCGGCCACACUGGGACUGAGAUACGGCCCAGACUCCUACGGGAGGCAGCAGUGGGGAAUAUUGCACAAUGGGCGCAAGCCUGAGUCAGCGACGCCGCGUGAGGGAUGACGGCCUUCGGGUUGUAAACCUCUUUCAGCACAGACGAAGCGCAAGUGACGGUAUGUGCAGAAGAAGGACCGGCCAACUACGUGCCAGCCGCCGCGGUAA
rnacentral:rRNA from 1 species